UUCUAACACUGUGCAAGUCCUUUCUCUCUCCAUUUCAUUCAUCUGAUAAUCGUUUUUGAGCAUGUUCUCAUUCUGUUUGGUCUCUUCCAGGUUCUCAUUGCCUUUUGUCCCACAAGCUUCUCUAAGCACCUUCUCACUUCCUUCCUUGUCCUGAAAGUCAUUAAAUCUCACCUUAAUUACUUCCUGUUCAUGAACUCGAACUAACUUCUCAGCAUCCUCUGAAUUUCUUCUCAUUUUCUUCCCAGUAUGAACCCUCUUGCCAUUUCAUUUCACUUGCUACCCUGUCCAAAUAUUCUUUCUCUCCCUUCCCAUUUCCUUCAUGGCUAU
rnacentral:misc_RNA from 1 species